rnacentral:rRNA from 1 species
UACACUCCUACGGGAGGCAGCAGUGGGGAAUUUUGGACAAUGGGCGAAAGCCUGAUCCAGCAAUGCCGCGUGAGUGAAGAAGGCCUUCGGGUUGUAAAGCUCUUUUGUCAGGGAAGAAACGGUGAGAGCUAAUAUCUUUUGCUAAUGACGGUACCUGAAGAAUAAGCACCGGCUAACUACGUGCCAGCAGCCGCGGUAAUACGUAGGGUGCAAGCGUUAAUCGGAAUUACUGGGCGUAAAGCGUGCGCAGGCGGUUUUGUAAGUCUGAUGUGAAAUCCCCGGGCUCAACCUGGGAAUUGCAUUGGAGACUGCAAGGCUAGAAUCUGGCAGAGGGGGGUAGAAUUCCACGUGUAGCAGUGAAAUGCGUAGAUAUGUGGAGGAACACCGAUGGCGAAGGCAGCCCCCUGGGUCAAGAUUGACGCUCAUGCACGAAAGCGUGGGGAGCAAACAGGAUUAGAAACCCGUGUAGUCCCAUGA